GACGAACGCUGGCGGCAUGCCUAAUACAUGCAAGUCGAGCGAACAGAUGAAGUGCUUGCACUUCUGACGUUAGCGGCGAACGGGUGAGUAACACGUAAGGAAUCUACCUAUAAGCGGGGGAUAACAUUCGGAAACGGGUGCUAAUACCGCAUAAUAUCUUCUUCCGCAUGGAAGAAGAUUGAAAGACGGCUCUGCUGUCACUUAUAGAUGACCUUGCGGUGCAUUAGUUAGUUGGUGGGGUAACGGCCUACCAAGACGAUGAUGCAUAGCCGACCUGAGAGGGUGAUCGGCCACAUUGGGACUGAGACACGGCCCAAACUCCUACGGGAGGCAGAAGUAGGGAAUCUUCCGCAAUGGGCGAAAGCCUGACGGAGCAAUGCCGCGUGAGUGAAGAAGGCCUUCGGGUCGUAAAACUCUGUUAUAAGAGAAGAACAAAUUGUAGAGCAACUGCUACAGUCUUGACGGUAUCUUAUCAGAAAGCCACGGCUAACUACGUGCCAGCCGCCGCCGUAA
rnacentral:rRNA from 1 species